rnacentral:rRNA from 1 species
UACAGAGGUGGCAAGCGUUGUUCGGAAUUACUGGGCGUAAAGGGCGAGUAGGUGGCCAUCUAAGUCAGACGUGAAAUCCCCCGGCUUAACCUGGGAACUGCGUCUGAUACUGGACGGCUUGAGUAUGGGAGAGGAACGUAGAAUUCCAGGUGUAGCGGUGAAAUGCGUAGAUAUCUGGAGGAAUACCGGUGGCGAAGGCGGCAUCCUGGACCGACAUUGACGCUGAUGAGCGAAAGCUAGGGGAGCAAACGGG